CGCUAACAAUGAGAACAUCUUUUGGGCUUGGAGAUUUUGAGGAGCAGAGUUCCGAGUGUGCGACGCAUUCACCAACAUGCGUGUGCGGCGUCGGGAUGAGCAAAGAAUGGAAGGAAAAUAGAAAGAGACGAACAGUCUUUAUUGGCCCUUUCUGCAACUCUGUACAAGCGGGCAUUUUUGCCCCCGCCUUCUUCAUCGACCUGCUAAAGGGCCACCGACACGGAAUGGAAAGACAAAGUCAAUCCGGUAAUUUGAAAAAAAAUAAUACAUAAAUAAAAUCC